UAAUGUGCUUCAAAAAAAACGAAAAUUAAAAGUUUUUUUGAAUAUUAAACAAUUGAGGUAAAAUAACCUAUUUUUAGUGACGAAAGAUUAGAGGAAAGUGUUCGUGGUUACAUGGGAUUUUCUAGGAGAAAACUGAAGUGAAAUCCAACCUCAAAAAAAAAAACAAAAUGUAGUUCCAUGUCAUUGUGAAUUUGGGAUGAUUAAAUAUGAAAAUCACAAAACAAUUUACCUGAAAGAGAAAAAAGAAGCAUGAUAAAUGGUGAAUAAAAGGAAAAUGAGAAGAAAAUAAAGCAAACUUAAAAGCAAUGAAAUAGAAAGAAAAGAAAAAAAAGACACUUACCUUCUGGCAGACUUCUAUAUGACGAUAUAUCUCUCUAUGCACGACUCUAUAUGACGAUAAGCUGUUUCCUCGUCCAAUGUCUCUUAUCUGCCGCGAAAUCGGCGCCACGCUUGGUCGCAGUUACUGGCAUGCUGUCGUAGCUGCUGGUGCUGGAGGCACCAAGGUGUGACAAAAAAAAAAAUUGCUUGCCAAGAUGUAGGAAUACUUUCGCAGAGUGUCAUUGAAAAUUUAUUUCACCAAAUGACAAUCGUUCGAGUAAAAAAGAAGAAUUAAUUUGAAAGCAAUUUUUGAAGAAAAAAAAAUUAUAAGAUCCCGUUGUUCAUUGAAUCUGAGAGUUAGCUGGACGUCCAGUUCUCACCAAGUGGCAGAGGCAUACAGGACAAGGGCACAAGGAACGAGGAACUCUGGGUCCGUAAGAUUGACCACUAGAUCCGGUUUAACAAGUUUCCGGAUUCCAGAGGUCAUCGGGGGUCUUGCACCCUUUAUUAUUUCUGCGUGGGGAUCGUCCGGUUGUUGUCUAUAUACUUACACUACUGUGUUACGAGUCGGCUUCUAAUAGUAUUACGCUGUAAUG